rnacentral:rRNA from 1 species
GUGUCAGCAGCCGCGGUAAAACGUAGGUACCGAGCGUUAUCCGGAUUCACUGGGCGUAAAGCGCGUGCAGGUGGUUUGGUAAGUCGGGCAUGAAAACUCUUGGCUCAACUGAGAGGUGCUGUCCGAUACUGCCGGACUUGAGGGCAUAAGAGGGAGGUGGAAUUCCGCAUGUAGUGGUGAAAUGCGUAGAUAUGCGGAGGAACACCAGUGGCGAAGGCGGCCUCCUGGUAUGCUCCUGACACUCAGACGCGAAAGCUAGGGGAGCGAACGGGAUUAGAAACCCUCGUAGUCC